ACAAUACUCAAUACACGGAGGAAAUUAGACAAUGCCAGAUAAUUAAUUAUUCACGUUGUUCUUUUGUAUCUUCAGUUAAUCAGCUGAACAAAGACAAACUGUCUGUUUGUGUUGUUAUGGCACGAGUAAUGAGACCGACGUAUCGUUGUCAUGUAAAUAAAGCAGUGGUAAAAAAAAAAAAGAAAAAAAAAAGAGGCCUCUAUUAACAAAAAAAAGGGUUUAAUAGUAUUGAAGGUAUUUAAAUUAAAAACGUAUAUACUUUGAUUGUAGAACCGAAAAUAUCCAAACCAGACUGCGGAAGUCUACUAUUGAUUGCUAUGAUCAUCGGAUCAAUAUACUAUCUGCGGGAUACCUAAUUUUGGAGGCGAGCGUUCGCACGAGUAACUAGGAACGAGGACGCCAAGGCAAAGGAAUUUUGCAAAACCAAUGCGAUAUUGUACAACGCUAAUUGCUUAUGUAGUAAUUGCACAUCAACGGACACAUUAUUACACGAAUUUGACAUAGACAAAAAAGACAGUUAGCGAAGUAGAGCGAGAAGCUUUUGCGAUUCCGUAAAUUCGCGAAAGUGAAAUUGAAUGAAGUGUUGAAAAAUAAGUAAUUUCUUGGUACAGGCAGAUAUAUAAAAAGAAAAAAAAAUAUUUUUGAAAAGAAACCGAUUAAUAAUAUCAAAAAAUUAGAUUUUAAAAGUAGAAGAGCGUGAUAGCUCUAAGCGAGCUUGUAGCCGUUCUUCCAGAGUGAGUGUAUGUAUGGAGUUUUCAAAAAUUGAGGCACACGCUGGCUUCCAAGUUACUUCUUUUAUUUUAAGACUUAUGCCAUCUUGACGAGAAGACCAGCUUCUACUCUCAAUUUGGUUUUUCCUAGUGCCUUUGUAAUGAACUAAAGGAGGAAGUAUGUACAAGUCGACAACGGCAAUUUUUCUGACUGGCUUCAAAAGAGAAAAGCAUCCACAAUGGGCAAGUAUAGUAGCAAUAUCGGAAUCAUCAGUAUACACAUCGGUCCCCCAUAUUUCUCGUCUGCAAAGUCUGGGAUUGAUGGCUGCAUUCAGCCAUUUGAUGUCGAUUGUCACACGAACGAACUUACCAAUUGAGGAAUAUAAAAGAGGAAAUUCAAGCCAAGGAGUGUAUUCAUAUUCGGUGACUGGAAAUAAAGAUUCAGACGCUGGAUAUCGGUUAAGAAAAGGUUCCAACGCACUAUUAUCUAUACUGAUUAUCGGAGAAACGAAUUGUCGAACUUGGAAUUGCGGAUAAGAUGUCGUUUUGGACAAGGAAGUUGAUAAAUUGGAUGGACGCGAUUCCAUACUAAUGGAAUCAGCACUUGUAGCCGUUGGCGCUCCAGGAUGUGAAUACUUGGCUUCCUCUUCUCCUGAUGACUGAGUAGGAAGAGUUUUUUGACGUUUAACAGAGCUUGUAUUUUCCUCUUGGUCGGAAACCCCUUUCCUUUCCCAAACUGAAUUUGGAUAUUUGGCUUCAGAAGGUUGUUUGGUAUAUGACAUGGGUGUCGAUGUAGCCAUUGGUAAAGUAUUCAUAUUCAUAUUCCCCAUUCCAUUUUCCGAGUACUCAGGAUCUCCGUUAUCAUUAGAACUUUCUAAGAUAGACCCUAUAGAAAGCUUGAUAUUUGAAGGUUGAGAUGGCUGUGAGCUACCAUUUGUACUAGUUUCUUCUAUUUUCAUAGAGUCCUUUGGAUCAAAUGUUUUUUUCCUACAAGUUAGUUUAACAAACUAAAAAAGUUCCCUGAAAUACAUACGAUUGCUCAUUUUCUG